UAUCUUCAAGCAUAGCCCACUGACUAAUAAGAAAAAACUUAUUUAAAGUUAAAGUAAAUGUUUUGUGUAUGAAAAAAAGCAUUAGUGCAAAUUAGGAGCAAAUGAAACAGUUCAGCUGUGGAUCCGAAUUUAGCUGUUACGCAUUGUAGUAAUUGGAAAAGUGUGGAUGUCAACGAAUUAAGUCUCACUAGCAACCUGAGUUUUAUUUCGCAUAAGAUUACAAAAAUUGUGAUCGUGUUUUUGUAGUCCUUCCAAUGGAAUGCUCCGGAUCCACGUCAAACGUAGUUUCUUUACCAAUACUGGCCUUUUGGGUACGCAACCAACAAUACCACACGAACUGAAUGCAAGUUGCCUAUUGCUUGAUAGUGGUAACGCAAAAUGAAAUACUUAUUGAAUGCCAAACAAUGGCGCUCCAACCGACAAAAGAAGGACAUUUAUACCACAACAAAUAAUUCCCGUAAAUACGAACAACGCGCAAGGAAAAGAAAAUGGUUUCGUUUCAUCUUUCACCCCCUACCAGUUGGCUUUCUGCGAAGAGAAAAACCUAAACAGAAAAUCAAGCAUUAACCAGAAUAGCCCUCACAGAUGAGGAAACAUUACUGGCGUAUAUAUCUAUUUGGAGAUUAAUAAAAGGCAUAACAAUUAACAAGUA